UGGGGAAUAUUUCACAAUGGGCGCAAGCCUGAUGCAGCCAUGCCGCGUGUAUGAAGAAGGCCUUCGGGUUGUAAAGUACUUUCAGCGGGGAGGAAGGUGGUAAGGUUAAUAACCUUGGCAAUUGACGUUACCGACAGAAGAAGCACCGGCUAACUCCGUGCCAGCAGCCGCGGUAAUACGGAGGGUGCAAGCGUUAAUCGGAAUUACUGGGCGUAAAGCGCACGCAGGCGGUUGAUUGAGUCAGAUGUGAAAUCCCCGGGCUUAACCCGGGAAUUGCAUCUGAUACUGGUCAGCUAGAGUCUUGUAGAGGGGGGUAGAAUUCCAUGUGUAGCGGUGAAAUGCGUAGAGAUGUGGAGGAAUACCGGUGGCGAAGGCGGCCCCCUGGACAAAGACUGACGCUCAGGUGCGAAAGCGUGGGGAGCAAACAGG
rnacentral:rRNA from 1 species